CCGCGUGGGUGAAGAAGGCCUUCGGGUUGUAAAGCCCUUUUGUUGGGAAAGAAAUCCUCCCAGCUAAUACCUGGUUGGGAUGACGGUACCCGAAGAAUAAGCACCGGCUAACUUCGUGCCAGCAGCCGCGGUAAUACGAAGGGUGCAAGCGUUACUCGGAAUUACUGGGCGUAAAGCGUGCGUAGGUGGUUGUUUAAGUCUGGUGUGAAAUCCCUGGGCUCAACCUGGGAACUGCACUGGAGACUGCACAACUAGAGUGUGGUAGAGGGUAACGGAAUUCCCCGUGUAGCAGUGAAAUGCGUAGAUAUCCGGAGGAACAUCCAUGGCGAAGGCAACUCCCUGGACCUGCACUGACACUGAGGCACGAAAGCGUGGGGAGCAAACAGGAUUAGAUACCCUGGUAGUCCACGCCCUAAACGAUGCCAACUGGAUGUUGGAUGCAAUUUGGCUCGCAAUAUCAAAUCUAACGCGUUAAUUUCCCCCCCGGGAGAAUACCGUCGCAGUACUGACUCUCAGGAGAUUUGACGGACGCCCGCACGCGCUGUGGAAUAUGUGGUAUAUUUCUAUGCCACGCGAAACAUCAUAUAUGCCUGUGAUGUGUCGAGACUUUUCCAGAUAUG
rnacentral:rRNA from 1 species